rnacentral:rRNA from 1 species
UUAAGUUAUUAAGGGCGCACGGUGGAUGCCUUGGCACUAGAAGCCGAUGAAGGACGUUACUAACGACGAUAUGCUUUGGGGAGCUGUAAGUAAGCUUUGAUCCAGAGAUUUCCGAAUGGGGAAACCCAGCAUGAGUUAUGUCAUGUUAUCGAUAUGUGAAUACAUAGCAUAUCAGAAGGCACACCCGGAGAACUGAAACAUCUUAGUACCCGGAGGAAGAGAAAGAAAAUUCGAUUCCCUUAGUAGCGGCGAGCGAAACGGGAAGAGCCCAAACCAACAAGCUUGCUUGUUGGGGUUGUAGGACACUCUAUACGGAGUUACAAAGGACGACAUUAGACGAAUCAUCUGGAAAGAUGAAUCAAAGAAGGUAAUAAUCCUGUAGUCGAAAAUGUUGUCUCUCUUGAGUGGAUCCUGAGUACGACGGAGCACGUGAAAUUCCGUCGGAAUCUGGGAGGACCAUCUCCUAAGGCUAAAUACUCUCUAGUGACCGAUAGUGAACCAGUACCGUGAGGGAAAGGUGAAAAGCACCCCGGAAGGGGAGUGAAAUAGAACCUGAAACCGUGUGCUUACAAGUAGUCAGAGCCCGUUAAUGGGUGAUGGCGUGCCUUUUGUAGAAUGAACCGGCGAGUUACGAUUUGAUGCAAGGUUAAGCAGUAAAUGUGGAGCCGUAGCGAAAGCGAGUCUGAAUAGGGCGUUUAGUAUUUGGUCGUAGACCCGAAACCAGGUGAUCUACCCUUGGUCAGGUUGAAGUUCAGGUAACACUGAAUGGAGGACCGAACCGACUUACGUUGAAAAGUGAGCGGAUGAACUGAGGGUAGCGGAGAAAUUCCAAUCGAACCUGGAGAUAGCUGGUUCUCUCCGAAAUAGCUUUAGGGCUAGCCUCAAGUGAUGAUUAUUGGAGGUAGAGCACUGUUUGGACGAGGGGCCCCUCUCGGGUUACCGAAUUCAGACAAACUCCGAAUGCCAAUUAAUUUAACUUGGGAGUCAGAACAUGGGUGAUAAGGUCCGUGUUCGAAAGGGAAACAGCCCAGACCACCAGCUAAGGUCCCAAAAUAUAUGUUAAGUGGAAAAGGAUGUGGCGUUGCCCAGACAACUAGGAUGUUGGCUUAGAAGCAGCCAUCAUUUAAAGAGUGCGUAAUAGCUCACUAGUCGAGUGACACUGCGCCGAAAAUGUACCGGGGCUAAACAUAUUACCGAAGCUGUGGAUUGUCCUUUGGACAAUGGUAGGAGAGCGUUCUAAGGGCGUUGAAGCAUGAUCGUAAGGACAUGUGGAGCGCUUAGAAGUGAGAAUGCCGGUGUGAGUAGCGAAAGACGGGUGAGAAUCCCGUCCACCGAUUGACUAAGGUUUCCAGAGGAAGGCUCGUCCGCUCUGGGUUAGUCGGGUCCUAAGCUGAGGCCGACAGGCGUAGGCGAUGGAUAACAGGUUGAUAUUCCUGUACCACCUAUAAUCGUUUUAAUCGAUGGGGGGACGCAGUAGGAUAGGCGAAGCGUGCGAUUGGAUUGCACGUCUAAGCAGUAAGGCUGAGUAUUAGGCAAAUCCGGUACUCAUUAAGGCUGAGCUGUGAUGGGGAGAAGACAUUGUGUCUUCGAGUCGUUGAUUUCACACUGCCGAGAAAAGCCUCUAGAUAGAAAAUAGGUGCCCGUACCGCAAACCGACACAGGUAGUCAAGAUGAGAAUUCUAAGGUGAGCGAGCGAACUCUCGUUAAGGAACUCGGCAAAAUGACCCCGUAACUUCGGGAGAAGGGGUGCUCUUUAGGGUUAACGCCCAGAAGAGCCGCAGUGAAUAGGCCCAAGCGACUGUUUAUCAAAAACACAGGUCUCUGCUAAACCGUAAGGUGAUGUAUAGGGGCUGACGCCUGCCCGGUGCUGGAAGGUUAAGAGGAGUGGUUAGCUUCUGCGAAGCUACGAAUCGAAGCCCCAGUAAACGGCGGCCGUAACUAUAACGGUCCUAAGGUAGCGAAAUUCCUUGUCGGGUAAGUUCCGACCCGCACGAAAGGCGUAACGAUUUGGGCACUGUCUCAACGAGAGACUCGGUGAAAUCAUAGUACCUGUGAAGAUGCAGGUUACCCGCGACAGGACGGAAAGACCCCGUGGAGCUUUACUGUAGCCUGAUAUUGAAAUUCGGCACAGCUUGUACAGGAUAGGUAGGAGCCUUUGAAACGUGAGCGCUAGCUUACGUGGAGGCGCUGGUGGGAUACUACCCUAGCUGUGUUGGCUUUCUAACCCGCACCACUUAUCGUGGUGGGAGACAGUGUCAGGCGGGCAGUUUGACUGGGGCGGUCGCCUCCUAAAAGGUAACGGAGGCGCUCAAAGGUUCCCUCAGAAUGGUUGGAAAUCAUUCAUAGAGUGUAAAGGCAUAAGGGAGCUUGACUGCGAGUCCUACAAGUCGAGCAGGGUCGAAAGACGGACUUAGUGAUCCGGUGGUUCCGCAUGGAAGGGCCAUCGCUCAACGGAUAAAAGCUACCCCGGGGAUAACAGGCUUAUCUCCCCCAAGAGUUCACAUCGACGGGGAGGUUUGGCACCUCGAUGUCGGCUCAUCGCAUCCCGGGGCUGUAGUCGGUCCCAAGGGUUGGGCUGUUCG